rnacentral:antisense_RNA from 1 species
GUGCGGAUGUGCAAUCUUCACCUGUUUAUUCGGUAGAGGGUGCCAUCUUCAGGUAGCCCUUCACGUUGUACAGAAAACAAUGGAGACUUCUCCUCCUGGGGCAGCUCAGAUAACAAGUGCCACUUCCAGGCUAAAGGAAUCCAUUCAGCAAACUCCCAGUAUGAAUGUUUCUGCUCUCGGCUGGAGAAACAGAAGAAGCAUUAAUGAAGGAGAGGGAUUCUACAGCAGCACAGUCCAAUAAAACUUUCUGUGGAGAUGGAAAUGAUCCAUUAUCUGUGCUCCCCAAUAUGCCAGUUGCUAGCUGCAAUUAGCUACCGAGCACCUAAAAUGUGGCUAGCGCAGCUGAGAAACAGAGCCUUUCAUUUUAUUUCACUUUAAUUAAAGAGUUCUAGAGCUCUUGCCUCUAGAGCAGUGCUUUUUAG